AUUGAACGCUGGCGGCAGGCCUAACACAUGCAAGUCGAACGGUAACAGGAAGCAGCUUGCUGCUUCGCUGACGAGUGGCGGACGGGUGAGUAAUGUCUGGGAAACUGCCUGAUGGAGGGGGAUAACUACUGGAAACGGUAGCUAAUACCGCAUAACGUCGCAAGACCAAAGAGGGGGACCUUCGGGCCUCUUGCCAUCAGAUGUGCCCAGAUGGGAUUAGCUAGUAGGUGGGGUAACGGCUCACCUAGGCGACGAUCCCUAGCUGGUCUGAGAGGAGGACCAGCCACACUGGAACUGAGACACGGUCCAGACUCCUACGGGAGGCAGCAGUGGGGAAUAUUGCACAAUGGGCGCAAGCCUGAUGCAGCCAUGCCGUGUGUAUGAAGAAGGCCUUCGGGUUGUAAAGUACUUUCAGCGGGGAGGAAGGCGAUGUGGUUAAUAACCGCGUCGAUUGACGUUACCCGCAGAAGAAGCACCGGCUAACUCCGUGCCAGCCGCCGCAGUAA
rnacentral:rRNA from 1 species